rnacentral:misc_RNA from 1 species
GAUGAAGAACGUAGCGAAAUGCGAUACUUGGUGUGAAUUGCAGAAUCCCGUGAACCAUCGAGUUUUUGAACGCAAGUUGCGCCCGAAGCCAUUAGGCCGAGGGCACGCCUGCCUGGGCGUCACACGUCGUUGCCCCCCCAUCUACUCCUUCGGGAUUGCGAGGGGCGGAUGAUGGCCUCCCGUGCGCCUCGUCGCGCGGUUGGCAUAAAUGCCAAGUCCUCGGCGACGCACGCCACGACAAUCGGUGGUUGCGAAACCUCGGUUGCCCGUCGUGUGCGGUCGUCGCGCAUCGAGGGCUCGAAAAAAUUGCCGGGCUCCGGCUCGGCUUUCAACGCGACCCCAGGUCAGGCGGGGUUACCCGCUGAAUUUAAGCAUAUCAAUAAGCGGAGGA